UGGGGAAUUUUGGACAAUGGGCGAAAGCCUGAUCCAGCAAUGCCGCGUGUGUGAAGAAGGCCUUCGGGUUGUAAAGCACUUUUGUCCGGAAAGAAAUCCUUGGCUCUAAUACAGUCGGGGGAUGACGGUACCGGAAGAAUAAGCACCGGCUAACUACGUGCCAGCAGCCGCGGUAAUACGUAGGGUGCAAGCGUUAAUCGGAAUUACUGGGCGUAAAGCGUGCGCAGGCGGUUUGCUAAGACCGAUGUGAAAUCCCCGGGCUCAACCUGGGAACUGCAUUGGUGACUGGCAGGCUAGAGUAUGGCAGAGGGGGGUAGAAUUCCACGUGUAGCAGUGAAAUGCGUAGAGAUGUGGAGGAAUACCGAUGGCGAAGGCAGCCCCCUGGGCCAAUACUGACGCUCAUGCACGAAAAGCGUGGGGGAGCAAACAGGAUUAGAUACCCUGGUAGUCCACGCCCUAAACGAUGUCAACUAGUUGUUGGGGGAUUCAUUUCCUUAGUAACGUAGCUAACGCGUGAAGUUGACCGCCU
rnacentral:rRNA from 1 species